GAUGAAGAACGCAGCGAAAUGCGAUAAGUAAUGUGAAUUGCAGAAUUCAGUGAACCAUCGAAUCUUUGAACGCACAUUGCGCCCGGCAGUAAUCUGCCGGGCAUGCCUGUCCGAGCGUCAUUUCUGCCCUCGAGCCUGUCCAGCAUCUAGGUGCUGUUCAGGUCCGGCGUUGGGGCACUACGGGAAGCCUCGUGCUAUCCCCCGUAGGCCCCGAAAUGAAGUGGCGGUCCUGCCGCGGCUCCCCCUGCGUAGUAUUACAGCUCGCUUCGGGACCCGGUGGAGGCCUGCCGUCAAACCUUACUCUCUAAGUUUGACCUCGGAUCAGGUAGGGUUACCCGCUGAACUUAAGCAUAUCAAUAAGCGGAGGA
rnacentral:misc_RNA from 1 species